AGAGUUUGAUCAUGGCUCAGAUUGAACGCUGGCGGCAGGCCUAACACAUGCAAGUCGAGCGGUAGCACAGAGAGCUUGCUCUCGGGUGACGAGCGGCGGACGGGUGAGUAAUGUCUGGGAAACUGCCUGAUGGAGGGGGAUAACUACUGGAAACGGUAGCUAAUACCGCAUAACGUCGCAAGACCAAAGUGGGGGACCUUCGGGCCUCAUGCCAUCAGAUGUGCCCAGAUGGGAUUAGCUAGUAGGUGGGGUAAUGGCUCACCUAGGCGACGAUCCCUAGCUGGUCUGAGAGGAUGACCAGCCACACUGGAACUGAGACACGGUCCAGACUCCUACGGGAGGCAGCAGUGGGGAAUAUUGCACAAUGGGCGCAAGCCUGAUGCAGCCAUGCCGCGUGUGUGAAGAAGGCCUUCGGGUUGUAAAGCACUUUCAGCGGGGAGGAAGGCGGUGAGGUUAAUAACCUCAUCGAUUGACGUUACCCGCAGAAGAAGCACCGGCUAACUCCGUGCCAGCAGCCGCGGUAAUACGGAGGGUGCAAGCGUUAAUCGGAAUUACUGGGCGUAAAGCGCACGCAGGCGGUCUGUCAAGUCGGAUGUGAAAUCCCCGGGCUCAACCUGGGAACUGCAUUCGAAACUGGCAGGCUAGAGUCUUGUAGAGGGGGGUAGAAUUCCAGGUGUAGCGGUGAAAUGCGUAGAGAUCUGGAGGAAUACCGGUGGCGAAGGCGGCCCCCUGGACAAAGACUGACGCUCAGGUGCGAAAGCGUGGGGAGCAAACAGGAUUAGAUACCCUGGUAGUCCACGCCGUAAACGAUGUCGAUUUGGAGGUUGUGCCCUUGAGGCGUGGCUUCCGGAGCUAACGCGUUAAAUCGACCGCCUGGGGAGUACGGCCGCAAGGUUAAAACUCAAAUGAAUUGACGGGGGCCCGCACAAGCGGUGGAGCAUGUGGUUUAAUUCGAUGCAACGCGAAGAACCUUACCUGGUCUUGACAUCCACAGAACUUUCCAGAGAUGGAUUGGUGCCUUCGGGAACUGUGAGACAGGUGCUGCAUGGCUGUCGUCAGCUCGUGUUGUGAAAUGUUGGGUUAAGUCCCGCAACGAGCGCAACCCUUAUCCUUUGUUGCCAGCGGU
rnacentral:rRNA from 1 species